CCUGUCCCUUCCCAUUGCUCCCCAUAGCACUUGGGGCAGUAGCUGCUUCUUGUUCAUUAUUGUCAAUGUUCCUGGGCCCCUUUUUUUCCUUCAGCUCUUCAUCACCUUUGUAACCAGUUCCCUGUGUUAAAUUCCUUCUGUUGAAAUCACUGUGUGGCUACUGCAGGACUUUUGACUCUUCUCAAUAGAAGUGAUGACAGAGGGUUCUGUGUGAAGGGCAGUAGGAGGUGUGGGGUGUGCAGAGUACCACAGCAGUGGUUGUGGGAAGCAGAAGCAGAGGAAACAGAGACUCAGGAACACACUGGAGACAACGCCUUAUGACAACUGAGGCAGAGGUUGGAGUGGGGUGUCUAAGAGCCAAGGCACACUACCCGGGAGCUGCAAGAGGCAAGGCAAGUUCCCCUCCUCGGAGCCGUCAGAGAGCGCGAGGCCCUGCCCAUGCCUUGAUUCCAGACUUCCAGCCUCCGCAACUAGUCUCUCUCUGUUGCCCAGGCUGGAGUGCAGUG